AUUGAACGCUGGCGGAAUGCUUUACACAUGCAAGUCGAACGGCAGCACGGGGGCAACCCUGGUGGCGAGUGGCGAACGGGUGAGUAAUACAUCGGAACGUGCCCAGUCGUGGGGGAUAACGUAGCGAAAGUUACGCUAAUACCGCAUACGAUCUACGGAUGAAAGCGGGGGACCGUAAGGCCUCGCGCGAUUGGAGCGGCCGAUGUCAGAUUAGGUAGUUGGUGAGGUAAAGGCUCACCAAGCCGACGAUCUGUAGCUGGUCUGAGAGGACGACCAGCCACACUCGGACUGAGACACGGCCCAGACUCCUACGGGAGGCAGCAGUGGGGAAUUUUGGACAAUGGGCGCAAGCCUGAUCCAGCCAUUCCGCGUGCAGGACGAAGGCCUUCGGGUUGUAAACUGCUUUUGUACGGAACGAAAAGGCUCUGGUUAAUACCUGGGGCUCAUGACGGUACCGUAAGAAUAAGCACCGGCUAACUACGUGCCAGCAGCCGCGGCAA
rnacentral:rRNA from 1 species